GACCAAAGCAUGUUUUAGAAGAUUGGGGAAAAUGGAAGCAACAGAAAAGAAAGGCUGAAGGCAGGAAAAACUGAAUAUUCUGGUGAAAGUAGGAAUCACUGAAGGAGCAAAGUCUUGAAGAAGGCAAAAGGUUGAAGGGUUGAGCUUCGAGGUGGAUACAUUCUGUGAGACCAAGAUGAAGGGAGGCUGUGUGAAGAGGUGUACACCAUUGUAAUUGGACAAGUUUAUCACCACAAGUAUAACUACCAUCUGUCAAAUUUUGAAUAACAGAUGAGAAAGAGAAGGAGACACAGAAUCCAAA